rnacentral:rRNA from 1 species
UAGGGAAUCUUCGGCAAUGGGCGCAACCCUGACCGAGCAACGCCGCGUGAGUGAAGAAGGUUUUCGGAUCGUAAAGCUCUGUUGUAAGAGAAGAACGUGUGUGAGAGUGUAAAGUUCACACAGUGACGGUAACUUACCAGAAAGGGACGGCUAACUACGUGCCAGCAGCCGCGGUAAUACGUAGGUCCCGAGCGUUGUCCGGAUUUAUUGGGCGUAAAGCGAGCGCAGCCGGUUUAAUAAGUCUGAAGUUAAAGGCAGUGGCUUAACCAUUGUUCGCUUUGGAAACUGUUAAACUUGAGUGCAGAAGGGGAGAGUGGAAUUCCAUGUGUAGCGGUGAAAUGCGUAGAUAUAUGGAGGAACACCGGUGGCGAAAGCGGCUCUCUGGUCUGUAACUGACGCUGAGGCUCGAAAGCGUGGGGAGCAAACAGG